rnacentral:lncRNA from 1 species
UAUGGACAUAUUUUCUAAACUUUCAGUGUGUAAUUUUCCAAGUAACUAUGGUGGAUGUUAUCAGAGUCAUUCACCUUACUGGUUUUAUCAUUCCGGUAGAAGAAGGUGCAUGAGAACUUGGAACCGUUGUCCUAGAAAUCCAAACAACUUCCGCAGUAGGCGGCAAUGUAAAAAAGUAUGUGUUCGCGAAGUGAUUCAAGACUUUGUCUGUAGGCAGCCAUUAGAUGAAGGAGUUUACUGCCAUCACUGUAGAAGGAGACACCGAUGUGGUCAAAGGAAAUUCUACUACGAUCGACGCACUCAUUCAUGCCGACGCUUUUAUUAUUUCGGUUGUGGUGGCAACUCAAACAAUUUCUAUUCAAGAUGGGACUGCAAGUGCCGUUGCAUAUAUAA